GGCUCAGGAUGAACGCUAGCGGCAGGCUUAACACAUGCAAGUCGAGGGGUAGAGGAAGCUUGCUUCCUUGAGACCGGCGCACGGGUGCGUAACGCGUAUGCAACCUACCUUUUACAGAGGGAUAGCCCAGAGAAAUUUGGAUUAAUACCUCAUGGUAUAUAUCAUUCGCAUGUUUGAUAUAUUAAAGUUCCAACGGUACAGGAUGGGCAUGCGUCCCAUUAGCUAGAUGGUAAGGUAACGGCUUACCAUGGCAACGAUGGGUAGGGGGCCUGAGAGGGUGGUCCCCCACACUGGUACUGAGACACGGACCAGACUCCUACGGGAGGCAGCAGUGAGGAAUAUUGGUCAAUGGGCGCAAGCCUGAACCAGCCAUGCCGCGUGCAGGAAGACGGUCCUAUGGAUUGUAAACUGCUUUUAUUUGGGAAUAAACCUAUUUACGUGUAGAUAGCUGAAGGUACCAAAUGAAUAAGCACCGGCUAACUCCGUG
rnacentral:rRNA from 1 species